UUUUAGAUAUCAAUUUGUUAUUUCUUUAGCAAUUUGUUAUUGAAAUUUCUUGCAUCAUUUAAAGAAACAAAAUCACUAACGUCGUAACUUGUAAGUUAUGUGUGACUAAUCUCAGUUGCGGAUGUAUCUUCAGAUUGAAUUAGUGUAAAUUUAUCAACCUUUUUAGUAAUGUCCCUGUUCAAAAUUAAAAAUUUGUAAAGAUAUUUAGUUGUGUUUUAUGGUUUUGUGGUUUUUCCCCGAGCAAAAAAUAAUUUCAAAAUUUACCACUCUUUGUUCGUUAAAACCAUAACAAAGAAUUUGAUCCGAUAUUUAACAACUUGGAUAUAGACAGCGAAAGGCGAAAAAGUUUGUGUAGUGAGUGCAAAUCAUAGAGGAUUGGAUAUGUAGCAGAGAAGAUGAAGAGCUUGCCGGAGAUGCACUUGAAGAUUGACCGGCGUAACCGAUCUGCAUGUUUUAUUAUUGACACGUAGUUUGGGAUUAAACUUUGUAUUUACACGUGUAAAACUUGUAGCUACGUGUUCACUAUAUUCCUACAGUUUAUGCUUUAAUAAAAGCAAAAGUUGACAAAAAAAAAGGUCUUAGAGAAAACCAUAAAAUAAAACAGAGGAAAAUAUUUGUCUCUGAGCUGCCACCUCGUCCAGAGCUACUCAUGACCGCUUUGGUCGCACGCGUCCCUGCUCAAGCAGAAAUUCCCCUCGAUGGCAACUCACGACGUCCGGAAGCAUGACCAGUAGAAGUCAUCUGGUGGCCAGACCCAACUCACAUAUAUUAUGUACUUAGUGUUGGUAAAUUAUGGAGUAGAGUUGGAGAUGCCGAGUAUAGAAAUCCGUCGGCAAAACGAAAGAAGUUAGAAAGCCUAUUAAAAUACUUAAUAUUUUGAAAAAUGAAAUCUAUACUAUUAAAGCAGUAUCAUAUUGUACUUUUUACCUUAGUCUGCUCUUUCUUUACUAACAUUGCAUGUUUUAUUAAGGGCAAUCAAGUAAUAUUAAUAAUA